CCUGUGUGACGUCAUCACAGGCCCAGCUGCUUCUGUGGCAGUGCCCUGACUCUGCCACACACUGGAUCCAUCAGCCUUCCUUGAUGACUAUGAAGACACGGAAGUUAUUAUGGAGUGGCGGUUUGUGACAGAGGAGAAGAGACAAUCUGACAGCCGAGAGAACACAGCUUUGUACAAGCUCCUGACUCGUAACCAGGGACCACUGCCACAGGAGGGAGCAUCCAGGGCCUCUUCCCACCCUGCCUCUAGCCCCCGCAACCAUGCCCACCCUCUGACUGGCCUUCCUCUAUGAACCAGAGAACUCUGGUCGUGCUAAUGGCGGAUGACUUCAGGUAUACGCCAACCUGUUUUCUCACCUGCCUUUAGGGACUCGUCACCAGUGUUAGUUAAUAAACUCGAUUUGUCUGCAGGA